rnacentral:rRNA from 1 species
UACAGAGGUCCCAAGCGUUGUUCGGAUUCACUGGGCGUAAAGGGUGCGUAGGUGGCUUGGUAAGUUUGAUGUGAAAUCUCCGGGCUUAACCCGGAAAUGGCAUUGAAUACUACUUGAGCUGGAGGUUUGGAGGGGGGACUGGAAUUCUCGGUGUAGCAGUGAAAUGCGUAGAUAUCGAGAGGAACUCCAGUGGCGAAGGCGAGUCCCUGGACAACACCUGACACUGAGGCACGAAAGCCGGGGGAGCAAACAGG